UACAGAGGGUGCGAGCGUUGUUCGGAAUUACUGGGCGUAAAGCGCACGUAGGCGGCUUCUUAAGUCGGUGGUGAAAUCCUGGAGCUCAACUCCAGAACUGCCUUCGAUACUGGGAAGCUCGAGUCCGGGAGAGGUGAGUGGAACUGCGAGUGUAGAGGUGAAAGUUCGUAGAUAUUCGCAAGAAUACCCCGUGGCGAAGGCGGCCGACUGGGCCGGAUCCGACGCUGAUGCGCGAA
rnacentral:rRNA from 1 species